UGUACCUAUCUGGGUUUUUUAGUCACUGCUAGUGAUUUCCAUACAUGGGGACUUUCAAAGAAGUCAACAAAUUACUUAACGAAAAGAACACACUACACCAGUAAAGAAAACCCAGUAAAAAGCACAACACUUACUUUCUGCUCUUUCAUCCCCAUACUCUGGAACAAACUGCUCCACAACUAUUGCAGGCAAAGAGCAUGCUUGGUAACAAAUCUUGAGUGAAACAGACAACAGCCAUUCCUCUUGUAAUACACGCAUCCAUUGCCAGAUCUGUCAAUCCCCCAAGGAUUAAAUAAAAAUCAUAAUAUAAAGGUCAUUUGCAAAAUCUGGCUGCUUUAUCAGGUGAGAAGUAAUUAAACUAAACAGCCAGCGGGGUUUAUGAGGAUAUGACACAUGACACCUUCCAGCUUCCUGAUGUGUGCCACGCUACCCAGCAGCGUAUAUAUAGACGCUGGCCGUCCAGGCAGCGCUAUCACCGCAGCCAGCCGACUUCUCCUGACCUGCUGACCAGCCGCUCAACAUGCAACCCAAAGGCGUCUCGCUCAAAAUGAAGCUCCUCUUGCUGUCCUGCGUCAUGAGCAUGGUCCUUGCUGUCGCCAAUGCUCAAGACGACAGCGAUAGCUCUGGUGGGGAGACCACUGAGGCGCCAACAAGACGACCCAUUUUCUGGCCCUUUCGCCCCAUUUUUCGCCCCUUCCUGAGAAGGCUCAGGGCUGCUCGAUCUUCCUGAUUGCGAGCCUGAGGUGCCUACCUGGAUAAUCAUGGCUGUCUCCUGCAGGAUGCUGCUGCUUCUAGAUGAUCUUCUACUUCCCACAUCUCCUUCAUAUCUUCUGUCACCGAUGUGCUGAAAAUGGAGGACCACCACCAACAGGGUCCCUGUUUCACACGCCCACUGCUGAAGCUGGUGUGUGUCAAAGUGCAUGACUCUCAACC